UUUUGGACAAUGGGCGCAAGCCUGAUCCAGCAAUGCCGCGUGAGUGAAGAAGGCCUUCGGGUUGUAAAGCUCUUUUGUCAGGGAAGAAACGGUGAGCUCUAAUACAGUUUGCUAAUGACGGUACCUGAAGAAUAAGCACCGGCUAACUACGUGCCAGCAGCCGCGGUAAUACGUAGGGUGCAAGCGUUAAUCGGAAUUACUGGGCGUAAAGCGUGCGCAGGCGGUUAUGUAAGUCAGAUGUGAAAUCCCCGGGCUCAACCUGGGAAUGGCAUUUGAGACUGCAUGGCUAGAGUGUGUCAGAGGGGGGUAGAAUUCCACGUGUAGCAGUGAAAUGCGUAGAGAUGUGGAGGAAUACCGAUGGCGAAGGCAGCCCCCUGGGAUAACACUGACGCUCAUGCACGAA
rnacentral:rRNA from 1 species